rnacentral:rRNA from 1 species
GAUGAACGCUGGCGGCGUGCCUAAUACAUGCAAGUCGAGCGAACGGACGAGAAGCUUGCUUCUCUGAUGUUAGCGGCGGACGGGUGAGUAACACGUGGAUAACCUACCUAUAAGACUGGGAUAACUUCGGGAAACCGGAGCUAAUACCGGAUAAUAUUUUGAACCGCAUGGUUCAAAAGUGAAAGACGGUCUUGCGGUCUCUUAUAGAUGGUUCUGCGCUGCAUUAGCUAGUUGGUAAGGUAACGGCUUACCAAGGCAACGAUGCAUAUCCGACCUGAGAGGGUGAUCGGCCACACUGGAACUGAGACACGGUCCAGACUCCUACGGGAGGCAGCAGUAGGGAAUCUUCCGCAAUGGGCGAAAACCUGACGGAGCAACGCCGCGUGAGUGAUGAAGGUCUUCGGAUCGUAAAACUCUGUUAUUAGGGAAGAACAUAUGUGUAAGUAACUGUGCACAUCUUGACGGUACCUAAUCAGAAAGCCACGGCUAACUACGUG